GACGUAGGAUCCGAGCGUUGUCCGGAGUUACUGGGCGUAAAGCGCGUGUAGGCGGCCCGGUAAGUCCGCUGUGAAAGUCGGGGGGCUCAACCCUCGAAUGCCGGUGGAUACUGCGGGGCUAGAGUGCAGAAGGGGCAACUGGAAUUCUCGGUGUAGCGGUGAAAUGCGUAGAUAUCGGAGAGGAACACCGUGCGGCGAAGGCGGGUUGCUGGGCUGACACUGACGCUGAUGCGCGAAAGCUAGGGGAGCGAACGGG
rnacentral:rRNA from 1 species